CAUAGAGAAAGUGAGAGCGACAUGUCCGGCUUCCCUCACUGUGAUAUCGUAAAGCCGGCCUCGAUGCCCUAGACAGCUCUGUAACUGUCUUUACUGUCUUGAAAGGAUCGGCUUCAAGGCCGGGCCCACGAACCCUCCCACCGAGCUAGAAGCACCCAUCCCGAUAGGAAAAGAAAGUUUUUGCCUCACCUAUUGAACUGUCUUCAUCUGGAUCAACAAGUUCACAGUUUCACCCCCCAGUGCUCCGCCUAUCCACAACAGAACAGGAAUGAGCAAGUGGCUGUGUGGUGCUUCCCUGCCUACUGGAGUUCAUCCACAACCACUGCUGACAGGUUUUUGCGUGCAUUUAUGUAUUUGAAAGAGCCACAGGAAUGGGAAUGUUAAAAGAAAGAACACAUUCAAUUUUUUUCCUCAAUUGUCAGAAUAUUUUCAUGGUCCAACGGGCUUUUGAUCUUGAGUUCUUACAAGACUGAAAUGUUUAGUUACUUAAGAGAACUUUUUUUCUGUUCUUCAGAAAAAAACUUCAGAUCAGAGAUAGUAAGUCAAAUGAACCCUUGCAAAAGCAGUGCACAAUUACAACUGUAAGCCAGGCUAUGCCCCACAGGCAAGGAAAAUGAACAUUCUUUUAAAAUGAAAUUUAUUUUCACCUCAGAAUUUACAAGGCUGUCGAUGCCUUCUCAGCAUCCCAAAAAUACAUGGUUCAACAUUUAGUCUUAAUGGUCUUUUAAAUACUACAAAUUUGCUCUUUUUCUAGAAAUCAGAACUAGUAAAAUAAGACUCUUUACAUUUAACAUCUCUGAGAUUUUGGAGAUGUCUGCCUGAGAAGAGCAUCUACACAAUAAAUAAGGCAGUGUUUUUGGUCUAUGAAAAUGAAUAGACGGAAUUCCACUUUCAUAUGGACACUCAAGUCAAGAAAGUAAAGGUCAAUUUUCAGAUUAACAGACCAAACAGGAAUCCAUACAGUUUUUCUAUUCUAGCUGGAAGGAAACAAAGCUAGAAGACAUUUCCACUUGGGAAUGAAUAGAGCUAAGCAAGACUAAGCUAACCCAGAUACCUGAGAAAGGGCAAGCUGCCAUGUUUAUAUGUAUUUGUGGUCAGCUUCAUGAAGUGUAAAAACACAAGAACUCAUCUUUGACAACCUAUAUAUAAAUAAUUAUUUUGGUGUAUUUUUUGAUUCUUCUAGUUUAUUAGGACAUUAAGUAGUGUAGGCAACACUUUUUACUAUCUGUUAAGUACAAGACUUAAAUUUCAACACUUCUAGUGAGCAUGCAGCAUUUUUCUAACAUGUACUUCCAGAAACUCUUACUGCCAGAAGGAAGAGAUGCGUAAAACCCAUUUAUUGAUACUUCCUCUUUAUUUCUUCUUCAUUCAUUAAAGGAUAUUUUUUAAAAACUUGAAAAAAAAAAAGUCUCAUCUCAUCUCACCUGUCAUUUUAAGAAAGGUACCCAACAAAGCUAAAUUAAAAAAAAAAAAUGUUACCACAGACAGCUAUGAUUUUUCUUCCUGUUACAAGUACAGGAAUCUAUUAGAACUACAGGUGAUUGCUGGAGAAGCUGCAUGUCAGGGUAGUUUUUAAAGUUUCCAUAAACUAUGAUUCCGCCUUCUUUCCCUUUCCCUCCUGCCCCAAGCAGAUACUAGCACUAAUAUGGUUUAAUGUUUUUAAUUUAGUAAAACAAAGUUAGUAAAUAAAAUAUAAAAUACAAUUGA